GAUGAACGCUAGCGGCAGGCUUAAUACAUGCAAGUCGAGGGGCAGCAGGGGUGUAGCAAUACACUCGCUGGCGACCGGCAAACGGGUGCGGAACACGUACGCAACCUACCCAGAACUGGGGGAUAGCCCGGGGAAACCCGGAUUAACACCUCAUAAGAUAGUGGAGUGGCAUCACUCAGCUAUUAAAACUCCGGUGGUUUUGGAUGGGCGUGCGGCUGGUUAGGUAGUUGGCGGGGUAACGGCCCACCAAGUCUACGAUCAGUAGCUGAUGUGAGGACAUGAUCAGCCACACGGGCAAUGAGAAACGGGCCCGACUCCUACUGGAGGCAGCAGUAAGGAAUAUUGGACAACGGACGCAAGUCUGAUCCAGCCAUGCCGCGUGAAGGAUUAAGGUCCUCUGGAUUGUAAACUUCUUUUAUAAGGGACGAAAAAAGGCUUUUCUAAGUCGUCUGACGGUACCUUAUGAAUAAGCACCGGCUAACUCCGUGCCAGCCGCCGCCGUAAGAC
rnacentral:rRNA from 1 species